GGCUUAUUGAUUUUAAUUUUAGGUCGGACCUGCCCACUGAGUAUUUAAAUGGCCGCGGUAUAUUGACCGUGCAAAGGUAGCAUAAUCAUUAGUUUUUUAAUUGAAAGCUUGUAUGAAAGGUUUGAUGAGAAAUUGGCUGUCUCUGUUAAAAUUAAAUAGAAUUUUAUUUUUAAGUAAAAAAGCUUAAAUUUAUCUAGAAGACGAGAAGACCCUAUAGAGUUUUAUAUAAAUACAAGAAGCAUAGGUUUUAGGAAUGAAAAAUUUAAGGUCUUGUAUUUGUAUUUGGUUGGGGUGAUUGGAAAAUUUAAUAAACUUUUCUUUGUAUUUUUACAUUAAUUUAUGAAUAAAUGAUCCUAGAGUAUAGAUUAUAAGAUCAAAUUACCUUAGGGAUAACAGCGUAAUUUUUUUUAGAGUUCUUAUCGAAAAAAUUGAUUGCGACCUCGAUGUUGGAUUAAAAUUUAUUAUUGGUGUAGAAGCUAAUAGAUUAGGUCUGUUCGACCUUUAAAAUUUUACAUGAUCUGAGUUUAAACCGGUGUGAG
rnacentral:rRNA from 1 species